rnacentral:rRNA from 1 species
GGGCCCGCACAAGCGGUGGAGCAUGUGGUUUAAUUCGAUGCAACGCGAAAAACCUUACCUACCCUUGACAUCAUCAGAACUUGUUAGAGAUAACUCGGUGCCUUCGGGAACUGAAUGACAGGUGCUGCAUGGCUGUCGUCAGCUCGUGUCGUGAGAUGUUGGUUAAGUCCCGUAACGAGCGCAACCCUUAUUCUUAGUUGCCAGCACGUAAUGGUGGGGACUCUAAGGAGACUGCCGGUGCUAAGCCGGAGGAAGGCGGGACGACGUCAAGUCAUCAUGGCCCUUACGGGUAGGGCUACACACGUGCUACAAUGGCCGGUACAGAGGGUUGCCAAGCCGCGAGGUGGAGCUAA